UGCCUGGGAUGUACGACAACUUCUGAUAUUUUGAACCUACACUUUUGAACAGGGAUUCCUAUAUUUUUUUCAGGAUGUCAUGCCGCCUUUGAGCGGAAGGCUGAGUGGACGAUGCGGAAACCCACCUAGCUUAUGCUAGGACUCAAAAUUCAGGAACCGGCAUUUUGGGUGA
rnacentral:other from 1 species